rnacentral:rRNA from 1 species
GACGAACGCUGGCGGCGUGCUUAACACAUGCAAGUCGAACGCUGAUGGCCCAGCUUGCUGGGUUGGAUGAGUGGCGAACGGGUGAGUAACACGUGAGUAACCUGCCCUCUUCUUUGGGAUAACGGUCGGAAACGGCUGCUAAUACCGGGUAUUCACUGUCCUUCGCAUGGGGGGUGGUGGAAAGGUUUUUUCUGGUGGGGGAUGGGCUCGCGGCCUAUCAGCUUGUUGGUGGGGUGAUGGCUUACCAAGGCUUUGACGGGUAACCGGCCUGAGAGGGUGACCGGUCACAUUGGGACUGAGAUACGGCCCAGACUCCUACGGGAGGCAGCAGUGGGGAAUAUUGCACAAUGGGCGAAAGCCUGAUGCAGCGACGCCGCGUGAGGGAUGGAGGCCUUCGGGUUGUAAACCUCUUUCGCUCAUGGUCAAGCUGCAACUGUGGUUGUGGUGAGGGUAGUGGGUAAAGAAGCACCGGCUAACUACGUGCCAGCAGCCGCGGUAAUACGUAGGGUGCGAGCGUUGUCCGGAAUUAUUGGGCGUAAAGGGCUUGUAGGCGGUUUGUCGCGUCUGCCGUGAAAUCCUCCGGCUUAACUGGGGGCGUGCGGUGGGUACGGGCAGGCUUGAGUGCGGUAGGGGAGACUGGAACUCCUGGUGUAGCGGUGGAAUGCGCAGAUAUCAGGAAGAACACCGGUGGCGAAGGCGGGUCUCUGGGCCGUUACUGACGCUGAGGAGCGAAAGCGUGGGGAGCGAACAGG